rnacentral:pre_miRNA from 2 species
CUCACUUCGCUCUCUAAUUCGCUUGGUGCAGGUCGGGGAUCAUUACAUCCGCGGUUUCCAUAGCAAUGGUUACACGUGGUGAAUUGGAUCCCGAUUGUAUCAAUCGAAUUGGAGGUCGCAGUGAAU